rnacentral:sRNA from 1 species
UCUACUUUUAUUACAAUUGUGAAUGGGCAAUAAAUUAGAUUUUGGUAAAUAAAAAAACUAAAAUAUUUUUACCUAUUUUCUACUAAAUAUUUUCCCAUGAUUUUCCUUCUAAUUUCCUACAAAAUUUCUUAUACAAAUGUAAUCUUAGGAAAAUUGAAGGAAGUCGUCCUUACCAUUUUCGUACCAAUUAUUUUUCCAUGACUUUCUUUCCAAUUUCCUACGAGAUUUCCUACGACAAUACAUUUCGUAGGAUUUUGGUAGAAAAUUUUGUACGAAAUUUUGACGACUAUUUUCAUAGUAAUCUCACAGAAAUUUGGUAAGAAAUAUCUUCUACUAAAAUUUUGGUAGGAAAUUUGGUAGGAAAAACCUAUGUUUUCUUGUAGUCCUACACUAGAAAAAAUGGAACCUUACGAACACUAGGGAAAGUAUUUGAUGAUAAAGGCAAGCUUGUCUGUUUGUUUAAGCAUCGAAAAGACGGAGAAGAAGACGCAAAAUAAAAAGCAGCUGUCUAUUUGUUGGACCACCCUAUUUCCUCACAUCGUUCCACUUCUUCGGAUCUCAUUGGUUUUGGUGGUGCUACACCAACUGUUUUUAACCGAACAAAGGAAGGUUGUUUGGUUUCUUAUGUUGAGAAUGAUGGUGUUGUUGGUGACUUCAUCACUCAAUUCCAAUUCAGGACUCUCCCUCAAGAAAUCCACAAGCUCGACAUUUUCCAUAUUCGCUUUGGAAGUACGGAUUGUCAUGAUUGGAACACAAUAUCCCUGAUAGAUGCGGAAGGGAUACACCGUUUGAAUUUCAUAGAUAAUGAAAAGUGCUUCAAUACCGAAGUAAGUUUGAUUUUUUUUUAUGUUUUAGUCUCUAUUUAUGUCACACUAAUGUCGUUAACAAUAUCUUCUUCUUUGUGUAGUAUAAUUUUCGUACAAAAAGAUUAAGUCAAAACAAUCUUUCACUAACAAAAUGGUGAACUAUGUGAAUGGGCUCGACGUGGAAGGUGAUAUCUUAUUUUUGAAAGCAUGUGGAUGGGAUGUUCCAAGAGAGAUUACGGUCCCU